UUUCGCAAUGCCCGAAAGGGUGACGAAGCGACGCCGCGUGGGUGAGGAAGGCCUUCGGGUUGUAAAGCCCUGUCAGGAGUUAUGAAAUGUAAGUGCGCUAAUAUCGUGCUUAUUUGACAAAGGCUCCAAAGGAAGCCACGGCUAACUCUGUGCCAGCAGCCGCGGUAAUACAGAGGUGGCGAGCGUUGUUCGGAAUUAUUGGGCGUAGAGAGCACGUAGGUGGGUUUGCAAGUCAGAUGUGAAAGCCUUCUGUUCAACGGAAGAAUUGCAUCUGAAACUGCUAAUCUUGAGUAUAGGAGGGGAGAAUGGAACUUCUGGUGGAGCGGUGAAAUGCGUAGAUAUCAGAAGGAACGCCGGCGGCGAAAGCGAUUCUCUGGCCUAUUACUGACACUCAGUGUGCGAAAGCUAGGGGAGCAAACGGGAUUAGAUACCCCGGUAGUCCUAGCCGUAAACGAUGGGCACUAAGUAGAGGGGUUUUA
rnacentral:rRNA from 1 species